rnacentral:rRNA from 1 species
GGACUACAGGGGUUUCUAAUCCCGUUCGCUCCCCAUGCUGUCGUGUCUGAAUGUCAGAAUCGGGCCAGGACGCCGCCUUCGCCUCAGGGGUUCCUCCGGAUCUCUACGCAUUUCACCACUACACCCGGAAUUCCACGUCCCUCUCCCGUUCUCUAGAAAAACAGUCUGGCAUAACCCCGCCCAGUUAAGCUGAGCGAUUUCAUACACCACUUGCUUUCCCAUCUGCACACGCUUUACGCCCAGUAAAUCCGGAUAACGCUCGCCACCUACGUUUUACCGCGGCUGCUGGCAC